rnacentral:lncRNA from 1 species
CCUGGAUUUGUCUCUCCAUUGCCCACUUCCAUGUUUCCUCCCCCAGUUAUUUUGGAGGCCCCGGGGACCGAGUGGGUGACCCAGCUGAGACCGGAGUUCUGGCAGGGCCAGGGGCAUCAUCGAGCAGAAAGGGACAGGCAGAGGAGGGGACAAGAGAGAAGAAGCUGGAAGCCCCAGAAGAGGAGAGAUGAGGACGCAUCACCAGUCUGAGACUGAGGCCUGAAGCUCUGUGGAGAGUUGCUGGUUGAGUCCACACUGAGAGGCUGAAGGAGCUGGAGUGUGACAUCCACGCACAAUGACAGUAGCCAGCAGGAGCCCAGAAGCUCUUUCUCAAAUGGAGAGUCAUUAUCUAAAAUGCUAAGGGCCUCUGAUGGGAUUCCACAGUGGGGACCUGAUGGAGCCUCCCAACAACGUCCCUGUCUGCUGGUAUCAGAUCUCCUGGGUCAUGUGGCCCAAGUGGCAGAGCAGCCUGGACUCACUGUGGAUGCAGCUAAAUUAUCCUUCCCCUGAGAGGGGCUGUCUCAGAAUGCCUACGGCGCUGGACUCCAAGGAAUUUCACUGAGGGAGAGGGCCCUUGAAUUUUAGUUGGAUUUAUUUCUCAUCCUCUGAUGCACAAAUGCUUUACCAAGUCCAGAGAAAUUGUUCCUACG